AGAGUUUGAUCAUGGCUCAGAUUGAACGCUGGCGGCGUGGCUAAAACAUGCAAGUCGAACGCGAAAGGGAGCAAUUCCAAGUAGAGUGGCGAAAGGGCGAGUAAUACAUUCCUACGUGCCUUGAGGUCGGGGAUAGCUCGGGGAAACCCGGAUUAAUACCCGAUGUGGUGCUUCAUGUAAAAGUGGAACAUCAAAGGCUUGCCGCCUUGAGAGCGGGGAAUGUCCUAUCAGCUAGUUGGUGAGGUAACGGCUCACCAAGGCGAAGACGGGUAGCGGGUGUGAGAGCAUGACCCGCCGCAUCGGGACUGAGACACUGCCCGGACUCCUACGGGAGGCUGCAGUAACGAAUCUUCCGCAAUGCGCGAAAGCGUGACGGAGCGACGCCGCGUGCAGGAUGAAGCCCUUCGGGGUGUAAACUGCUGUCAGGGUUUCGAAACACAAUGAUCAAACCCAAAGGAAGAGGCGACUAACUCUGUGCCAGCAGUCGCGGUAAUACAGAGGCCUCGAGCGUUAAUCGGAAUCACUGGGCUUAAAGCGUACGUAGGCGGACGCGCAGGCAUCGUGUGAAAUCCCUCGGCUCAACCGGGGAACUGCACGGUGAACCGCGUGUCUUGAGGCAAGUAGAGGCGGUCGGAACGCUAGGUGGAGCGGUGAAAUGCGUAGAUAUCUAGCGGAACGCCGAAGGUGAAAACAGGCCGCUGGGC
rnacentral:rRNA from 1 species